rnacentral:rRNA from 1 species
UACGGAGGGUGCAAGCGUUAAUCGGAAUUACUGGGCGUAAAGCGCACGCAGGUGGCUGAGUCAGUCGAUUGUGAAAGCCCUGGGCUUAACCUGGGAAUUGCAGCCGAUACUACUCAGCUAGAGUAUGGGAGAGGGCAGUGGAAUUCCCGGUGUAGCGGUGAAAUGCGUAGAUAUCGGGAGGAACAUCAGUGGCGAAGGCGGCUGCCUGGCCCAAUACUGACACUCAGGUGCGACAGCGUGGGGAGCAAACAGG